UUUAUGGAGAGUUUGAUCCUGGCUCAGAGUGAACGCUGGCGGCGUGCCUAAUACAUGCAAGUCGAACGAUGAAGCUUCUAGCUUGCUAGAGUGCUGAUUAGUGGCGCACGGGUGAGUAACGCAUAGGUUAUGUGCCUCUUAGUUUGGGAUAGCCAUUGGAAACGAUGAUUAAUACCAGAUACUCCCUACGGGGGAAAGAUUUAUCGCUAAGAGAUCAGCCUAUGUCCUAUCAGCUUGUUGGUAAGGUAAUGGCUUACCAAGGCUAUGACGGGUAUCCGGCCUGAGAGGGUGAACGGACACACUGGAACUGAGACACGGUCCAGACUCCUACGGGAGGCAGCAGUAGGGAAUAUUGCUCAAUGGGGGAAACCCUGAAGCAGCAACGCCGCGUGGAGGAUGAAGGUUUUAGGAUUGUAAACUCCUUUUGUUAGAGAAGAUAAUGACGGUAUCUAACGAAUAAGCACCGGCUAACUCCGUGCCAGCAGCCGCGGUAAUACGGAGGGUGCAAGCGUUACUCGGAAUCACUGGGCGUAAAGAGCGCGUAGGCGGGAUAGUCAGUCAGGUGUGAAAUCCUAUGGCUUAACCAUAGAACUGCAUUUGAAACUACUAUUCUAGAGUGUGGGAGAGGUAGGUGGAAUUCUUGGUGUAGGGGUAAAAUCCGUAGAGAUCAAGAGGAAUACUCAUUGCGAAGGCGACCUGCUGGAACAUUACUGACGCUGAUUGCGCGAAAGCGUGGGGAGCAAACAGGAUUAGAUACCCUGGUAGUCCACGCCCUAAACGAUGGAUGCUAGUUGUUGGAGGGCUUAGUCUCUCCAGUAAUGCAGCUAACGCAUUAAGCAUCCCGCCUGGGGAGUACGGUCGCAAGAUUAAAACUCAAAGGAAUAGACGGGGACCCGCACAAGCGGUGGAGCAUGUGGUUUAAUUCGAAGAUACACGAAGAACCUUACCUAGGCUUGACAUUGAGAGAAUCCGCUAGAAAUAGUGGAGUGUCUGGCUUGCUAGACCUUGAAAACAGGUGCUGCACGGCUGUCGUCAGCUCGUGUCGUGAGAUGUUGGGUUAAGUCCCGCAACGAGCGCAACCCCCUUUCUUAGUUGCUAACAGGUUAUGCUGAGAACUCUAAGGAUACUGCCUCCGUAAGGAGGAGGAAGGUGGGGACGACGUCAAGUCAUCAUGGCCCUUACGCCUAGGGCUACACACGUGCUACAAUGGGGUGCACAAAGAGAAGCAAUACUGCGAAGUGGAGCCAAUCUUCAAAACACCUCUCAGUUCGGAUUGUAGGCUGCAACUCGCCUGCAUGAAGCUGGAAUCGCUAGUAAUCGCAAAUCAGCCAUGUUGCGGUGAAUACGUUCCCGGGUCUUGUACUCACCGCCCGUCACACCAUGGGAGUUGUGUUUGCCUUAAGUCAGGAUGCUAAAUUGGCUACUGCCCACGGCACACACAGCGACUGGGGUGAAGUCGUAACAAGGUAACCGUAGGUGAACCUGCGGUUGGAUCACCUCCUUUCUAGA
rnacentral:rRNA from 1 species